rnacentral:rRNA from 1 species
GACGAACGCUGGCGGCGUGCUUAACACAUGCAAGUCGAGCGAACCUUCGGGUUAGCGGCGAACGGGUGAGUAACACGUGGGCAACCUGCCCCGAGCUCUGGGAUAACCCCGGGAACCGGGGCUAAUACCGGAUAUGACACCGACAGACAUCUGUCGGUGUGGAAAGUUUUUCGGCGUCGGGAUGGGCUCGCGGCCUAUCAGCUUGUUGGUGGGGUAACGGCCUACCAAGGCGACGACGGGUAGCCGGCCNGAGAGGGCGACCGGCCACACUGGGACUGAGACACGGCCCAGACUCCUACGGGAGGCAGCAGUGGGGAAUAUUGCGCAAUGGGCGAAAGCCUGAC